rnacentral:rRNA from 1 species
ACGGAAGGCAGCAGUGGGGAAUAUUGCACAAUGGGCGAAAGCCUGAUGCAGCGACGCCGCGUGAGUGAAGAAGUAUUUCGGUAUGUAAAGCUCUAUCAGCAGGGAAGAAAAAUGACGGUACCUGACUAAGAAGCACCGGCUAAAUACGUGCCAGCAGCCGCGGUAAUACGUAUGGUGCAAGCGUUAUCCGGAUUUACUGGGUGUAAAGGGAGCGCAGGCGGUACGGCAAGUCUGAUGUGAAAGCCCGGGGUUCAACCCCGGUACUGCAUUGGAAACUGUCGAACUAGAGUGUCGGAGGGGUAAGCGGAAUUCCUAGUGUAGCGGUGAAAUGCGUAGAUAUUAGGAGGAACACCAGUGGCGAAGGCGGCUUACUGGACGAUAACUGACGCUGAGGCUCGAAAGCGUGGGGAGCAAACAGGAUUAGAUACCCUGGUA